CACGUAGGCGGCUUUCUAAGUCGGGGGUGAAAUCCUGGAGCUCAACUCCAGAACUGCCUUCGAUACUGGAGAGCUUGAGUCCGGGAGAGGUGAGUGGAACUGCGAGUGUAGAGGUGAAAUUCGUAGAUAUUCGCAAGAACACCAGUGGCGAAGGCGGCUCACUGGCCCGGUACUGACGCUGAGGUGCGAAAGCGUGGGAGCAAACA
rnacentral:rRNA from 1 species